GCAUGGUCAUGGUCUGGAAAUCCGGGGCGGCAUCAAAAGCCACCAAAUUCCAUCGAGUUCUGCUACCAGCUUUGAGUUAUUUGGAAGAAACAGAGGAAAACAGUUAAAUCCUGUGUACAAGCAAUUCUGGAUUUACACUGGCUGAUUUGCCAUUCCCUAAGGGAGACAGAGCCGGAAUCUGGGUCUGACACCCAAUAUAGAGCAGGAGAUGCUUCGAGCAGCCAGCAUGAAAGGAGGCAAAAAGCCAAGUGGCAGGAUAUCUGCUGAGAAAGCUGAGAAGAUGACAGUCUCGCAGGAGAAGAGGGAAGGCAGCAGGUAUGUGUGAACCAGGAUUGCUGCUGCUCAGCUGGAGGCUGCUGCCUGCCCAAAGCACAUUUAUCCCCCUGCAAGGCACCUCCCUCCUGCUGCUGUCCCCUGGUCAAAGUUUUGGUUACCUGGGCACUGUAGGGUCACACUGCCCUCCAUAUUUUACUGCUCUUACUUCCUUAGAGCCUGAGCUUGUGCUUGCAAUAACACUUUUCAGUCCUUCACUUUAGAGACGUUUUGG